rnacentral:rRNA from 1 species
AUUGACGUACCCGCAGAAGAAAGCCCCGGCUAACUCCCGUGCCAGCAGCCGCGGUAAUUCGGAGGGGUGCAAGCGGUUAAUCGGAUUACUGGGCGUAAAGCGCACGCAGGGCGGUCUGUCAAGUCGGAUGUGAAAUCCCCCGGGCUCAACCUGGGAACUGCAUUCGAAACUGGCAGGCUAGAGUCUUGUAGAGGGGGGUAGAAUUCCAGGUGUAGCGGUGAAAUGCGUAGAGAUCUGGAGGAAUACCGGUGGCGAAGGCGGCCCCCUGGACAAAGACUGACGCUCAGGUGCGAAAGCGUGGGGAGCAAACAGGAUUUAGAUACCCUGGUAGUCCACGCCGUAAACGAUGUCGACUUGGAGGUUGUGCCCUUGAGGCGUGGCUUCCGGAGCUAACGCGUUAAGUCGACCGCCUGGGGAGUACGGCCGCAAGGUUAAAACUCAAAUGAAUUGACGGGGGCCCGCACAAGCGGUGGAGCAUGUGGUUUAAUUCGAUGCAACGCGAAGAACCUUACCUACUCUUGACAUCCAGAGAACUUAGCAGAGAUGGUUUGGUGCCUUCGGGAACUCUGAGACAGGUGCUGCAUGGCUGUCGUCAGCUCGUGUUGUGAAAUGUUGGGUUAAGUCCCGCAACGAGCGCAACCCUUAUCCUUUGUUGCCAGCGGUUCGGCCGGGAACUCAAAGGAGACUGCCAGUGAUAAACUGGAGGAAGGUGGGGAUGACGUCAAGUCAUCAUGGCCCUUACGAGUAGGGCUACACACGUGCUACAAUGGCGCAUACAAAGAGAAGCGACCUCGCGAGAGCAAGCGGACCUCAUAAAGUGCGUCGUAGUCCGGAUUGGAGUCUGCAACUCGACUCCAUGAAGUCGGAAUCGCUAGUAAUCGUAGAUCAGAAUGCUACGGUGAAUUUUUUUUUGGGCCUUGUACACACCGUAAGGCACACCAAGGCAGUCGUUGAUUUAGAUCCAGCCUCGCUCUAGUCGUAAGCUAAGGGGAACCGGCU